rnacentral:tRNA from 1 species
GGUGAGGUGGCUGAAUUAGGCAAUAAAUUGUAAAUUUAUGUAUGAAAUAAAGUUAUUUCUCUCACCA